rnacentral:lncRNA from 1 species
CUGCUGAAAACACUGCCGGUCCACCCUGCUGGAAACACUGCCGGUCUGCCUGCUUGAUCCGCCCCUAGUUUCCAUCCUGCUCGAGAUCGACCACACGUCUCUCUAGCCAUAGGAGAUCUGGCCAAAUUGUUCCGAGUCUGCUGCGACAAAGCUGGUGAAGAAGGGCGCAAGACAAUUCAUGCUGCUAAGCUAUUCAUUCCUGACCGAGAAUUGUAGGCAGAUAGGAGUAAUUGGUGUCAUGGCUUUAGAUCUGACAGCUUUACAACCUGUGGCUUUUGUAUGAAUGUUCAUUUGAUAUAAUUUACUAUCUAUUUAGCUAAAUGUUUUGUUCGGUAAUAGCAACACAAUGGUAUGCUAAGAUUAUAUUCAUGAUUGAUCAUUGCUACAUGUGAGCAUUAAACCACUUGCAGAUAGUUGAAUAGACAACUUUUGUCUGUGGAUUGUAUGAACUGUCUAUUUAGUUGUCUGUGUCAAGGAUUCUAAGAACUCGCAGACAGAUCCCUGUCUGUGGGCUGUACAUGCCCUUAGAGCUAAGAGUUAUAAUUUAAUGCCAUUAACUCGCUAAGAGAAUUCAGACAAAGCACUGACACCAAACAACCUAAAUGUAUCGUUGUUGCCAUGAUUUGUUUCUCUCUAAUAUCUGAUAUCGAUAACCUAUAUGCAUUGCCAAGCACAUACUACACUGAGACAUGGAAGAAAAAAGAGAUGAUAUAUUAUUGCCAUGAUUUGUUUCUCUCUAAUAUCUGAUAUCGAUAACCUAUAUGCAUUGCCAAGCACAUACUACACUGAGACAAGG